rnacentral:rRNA from 1 species
AGCGAACGCUGGCGGCAGGCUUAACACAUGCAAGUCGAGCGGGCGUAGCAAUACGUCAGCGGCAGACGGGUGAGUAACGCGUGGGAACAUACCUUUUGGUUCGGAACAACACAGGGAAACUUGUGCUAAUACCGGAUAAGCCCUUACGGGGAAAGAUUUAUCGCCGAAAGAUUGGCCCGCGUCUGAUUAGCUAGUUGGUGAGGUAACGGCUCACCAAGGCGACGAUCAGUAGCUGGCUGAGAGGAUGAUCAGCCACAUUGGGACUGAGACACGGCCCAGACUCCUACGGGAGGCAGCAGUGGGGAAUUUUGGACAAUGGGGGCAACCCUGAUCCAGCCAUGCCGCGUGAGUGAAGAAGGCC